GGGCCCGCACAAGCGGUGGAGUAUGUGGCUUAAUUCGAUGCAACGCGAAGAACCUUACCUGGCCUUGACAUGUAGUGGCCCGGGUGCGAAAUCACCCUUUUCUUCGGAACUGCUACACAGGUGCUGCAUGGCUGUCGUCAGCUCGUGUCGUGAGAUGUUGGGUUAAGUCCCGCAACGAGCGCAACCCCCGUGUUCUGUUGCCACCCGGAUGAGAAUCCGGAGCACUCUGGACAGACUGCCUGGUUUCAACCAGGAGGAAGGUGGGGAUGACGUCAAGUCAGUAUGGCCCUUACGGCCAGGGCUGCACACGUACUACAAUGCCCGGUACAAUGGGAAGCGAGACCGCGAGGUGGAGCAAAUCCUAAAAACCGGGCCCAGUUCAGAUUGUAGGCUGCAACUCGCCUACAUGAAGGAGGAAUCGCUAGUAAUCG
rnacentral:rRNA from 1 species